UACAGAGGUCCCAAGCGUUGUUCGGAUUUACUGGGCGUAAAGGGUGCGUAGGCGGUGGGGUAAGUUUGAGGUGAAAGCUCCGGGCUCAACCCGGAAACUGCCUUGAAAACUAUCCGGCUAGAGGGUUGGAGGGGAGACUGGAAUUCUCGGUGUAGCAGUGAAAUGCGUAGAUCUCGAGAGGAACACCAGUGGCGAAGGCGGGUCUCUGGACAACACCUGACGCUGAGGCACGAAGGCCAGGGGAGCAAACGGG
rnacentral:rRNA from 1 species